AUUGGCAUGAUAAAUGGAGGAUUUUAAAUUUAGGUCCGCGUACUGGUCAAGGGGUUCAUAUGUGUGGAGAGAUCAUAUAAAUAGAGGCCACCACACUAAUAACUUUAGUGAAGUUUCAGUGAGAAUUUUUUAGGAAAAUGUAUUAAGUAGAGUUAAAGCAUACAAUGUUAUUUCAAUUAUUGAUUUUUGUUGUACCAAUUUGGAACAUUAUUAUAGAAAAAAAUUUCUCGAGUUUUCUAAUGAUAGAAAUGCAACUGCUUGUAAAUUUUUUGAAAAAAUUACAAAAUUAACUGAUUAUGUGACCCAAGAAGAUAUUAAAGUGGAUAAUGAAGAAUACUAUGUACCAAGCCAAAAAAAUAAACAGUUGAUGUAUUGUGUUAUGCCAUCUAUAGAUAUUUGUUCGUGUACAGCUAGAAUGUAUGGAAAGUUUUGUAAACAUCAAGGUAUUGUAUACAAGUUUUUUAAUAAAGUUGGAGUUAAUUUCCCUCCUGUUACAAUAGAGGAUAAACAUUCAAUUGCACCAUUAGCAUUAAGUAAUAAAACACCAAAUAAAUCAUUUUAUGAAGAUCUUUUACCAUCAGAGGUUAUUCAUAAAAAUGCAUUGACAGUUGAAGAAGUUAAAUUAAAACCAGUAAAUGUAAUAGAAAAUACAGAAAACAAUAUUAAUGAAAAUAGCAUCUUUGGCAAUAUGGUUGAAGAAAAAAGUACUAUUUCAGAAAAUACUUGUUUGCCAAUAAUAGAAGAAAUCAAUCAAAUUUUGUUGAAUAAUAAUACUAAGUAUGGAGGAUCAAUCAAAAUUUACUGAAAUUUAAAAAUAGAUUUAAAAAAAUAAAAUCAGAAGGGCAGUUUAACACAUUUUUAGCCAAUGCUGGAGGAACCUCUUUACCUUAAAGACUAAUAGAUAGUGCAACAAUAUGAGUUAAGCCAACCACUAUUUCUAGGAGGAAACCAAGCAUAACAAAAGGAAGCAAACGUCUUUUGGCAGACCAGCAAUUUCAGAAAACAAUCGCCCUAAGAAACCAAGAAAUAUACUUCAAAACAUAACUAUCUGUACGCCUAAUGCAAAAUCGCACUAAUUUAUUUCUGUUAUUACAUUUUUUAAAUAAUAUAUUUAUAAAUAAUUUAUAAAAUUAGUGUUUUCUAGAUAUUAAUAAUAAUAGUUUACUGAUAUCAACUGUUAUCAUAAAUAAUGAGUAGCCAAUCAGAGAGGCAAAUUUAUUGCUGGGUUACAUUUCGUGUGCAGAAUGUUAAUAUGCCGCCCGAUAAAAGCUAUAUUUGCUUCACCAGCUGAAGCGUUUGAUAUCUUAAAAUCUAAGAAAAAAUUGUUAUCAUUACAACCGCCUUCUAUUAUUCGAAUCAAUUCGGACCGUACGCUGCAUCAAAGGAGUUAUAUGAAAAAACUCCACUGUGAAUUGGAGACUCGUAAAAAUAAUGGCGAAUCUGAUCUAAUUAUUAAAUAUGUGAAAGGAACACCGAAAAUUGUUAUAAAAAAUAACCGUUCAGUAAAUCUCCGAAAUGAUAAUUUUUUAUAAUUAAUAUUUUUUUUCAAAAUGUUCGUGGUCUAUUAACAAAGAUAAAUUUUUUACGAAAUGCCUUAUUAAAUGUGAAUUAUGAUAUAGUUUGUUUAAAUGAAACAUGGUUAAAUUAUAAUAUUUUUGAUGCGGAACUUGGUUUUAAUAAUUAUAAUUUAUAUAGAGAUGAUCGUAAUUUGUCGUACGGUAAACUGCGUGGUGGUGGUGUGUUAAUUGCAAUAAAUAAAAAAAUGUGUAGUGAAUUAUUAAAUGUUCCUCUUGUAACUGGAAUCGAACAAUUAUUUCUAAAAUUCACUGUAAAUAAAAUAAAAAUAGUUUUAGGUUGUGUAUAUAUUCCACCUGAUGCAACUAUUGAAAUGUAUUCUAAAUAAUGUGAUGAUAUAGAGUAUAUAUUUUAACUAUCCUGAUUACCAUUUUAUUAUUACUGGUGAUUUUAAUUUAAAUAGCUACGAUUGGUCUAUCGAAUCAAGUAUUCAAGGUAAUGUCUCUGGAGAUAUACUAUAUAAUUCUUUUGUAAAUCUUUUAAAUUUAAAACAAUGUAAUUACAUUAAAAACUCUUUAGGUCAUACUCUUGAUUGUAUAUUUCUUAGUUCUGAUGUAGAACUUACUUCUAUUGUUCAUUCAUCUGAAUCCCUUGUUCCAAUAAUUGAUAAUUUUCAUCCUCUUUUAAAGUUAAAUAUAAAAUUUACUGAUCCCUUUUUACAAAAUUCUUAUAAACUUCCACUAGUGUAUAAUUUCAAAAAUUGUGAUUUCAAUAAAAUUUCUCUUUUUCUAUCAAACAUCGAUUUUGAACUUAAUCUAGACAAUACUUUAACUUUUGAGGCUCAAAUAAAUAAAUUUUAUGAAAUAAUUUAUCAUACAUUCUCUUUAUUUAUUCCCAAAACAAAAAUGUUUAAUAAUUUUUCACCUGUUUGGCCAAAUGCUGAGCUUAGAAAACUCAUUAUUGAUAAGAAAUGUGCUCAUAAAAAAUUUAAACUUAGUCAUUCUCAUCAAGAUUAUCUUAUUCUCUCUAAUCUCCGCAAUAAAUGCAAAAAAUUAAUAUAUCUCUCCCAUACACAAUUUAUCACAAAUUUAGAAUCCAAACAAAUAUUAAACCUUUUUGGAAAUAUAUUAACUCACUGAAAAAAACUAAUAAUGUAGUACCAGAUUGCGUUAAAUAUCAAAAUCAUUCAUCUUCAAACAUCUAUGAACACAGGUCAAUUAUUUGCCAACUACUUUUCCAGUGUUUAUGAUACUGACUCAAGAAUCUUUAAUGAAGAGUCCCAAGAAAAUUUAAAUACGUCUUUAAUGAAUAAUAUAAAUGUUAAUUUAAGCUCCAUGUCUAUUGAUCAAAAUGAAAUUCAAGAGUUAUUAAAUAAUUUAGAUAUGAAUGCGAGUACGGGACCUGAUGGUGUACCUUCUUUAUUUCUAAAAUUGUGUAGUUUUGUAUUAAUUAAGCCACUUCCUUUAAUUUUUAAUAGAUCUUUACAUUUAGAUUAUUUUCCCAAUAUAUGGCAAAAAUCUUUUAUCACACUAGUACACAAAUCAGGAGAUAAGCAUAAUGUUUCAAAUUAUAGACCAAUUUCUAAAUUAUCACAUAUACCUAAACUAUUUGAAGCGAUUAUAAUAAAUAAAUUAACUAAACUAAUGUCGCCAUAUAUCUGUAAAAAUUAACAUGGCUUUAGAUCUAAAAUGUCAAUCUCAACCAAAUUUUUCAGUCAAAGAUACUUGAUUCUCUUAAUGAUUAUGUCCAAUUAGACUCAAUAUACACCGAUUUCCAGAAAGCUUUUGAUAAAGUAAAUCAUAGCCUACUUUUAAAUAGAUUAGUUUCUUUCGGAAUCCACGGUAAUUUUUUGGGUUGGAUAAAAUCCUAUAUUAGUUCACGUACUCAAGCAGUAAAAUUAUCCUUUCAUGUAUCAAAUAAUUUUUUAGUUAAUUCUGGAGUGCCUCAAGGUUCACAUCUGAGCCCUCUUCUAUUUACAUUAUUUAUAAAUGAUC